rnacentral:lncRNA from 1 species
UAAUUACAUUUGUACCUUCGGCUUGACAGAAGGAAAAAAAUCCAAGUGUUGCACGUGAGCGAUUACAGGAUAACGUGAACAGUACGGGGGUACUGUUCAUCUAUUUAUAGGCAUAGGACGCAGCCUGUGGAGAAUUACAUGCAUGCCCUUUACAAAGGUUUACAAUAAUACAAAUUAUCAUGGGCCAGUUGGUCAUUUCAUCUUUAAGUCGGUGCAUUUGGAAAUAUGCUCCGAAGCCUUUUGAUUGAUAGCUUCGGCUUCGUGUCAAUCUUCCGAAGGUGUUUCUUCUUAUGAGACCUUCAGCGACGAAGCAGACCCUCAACAUGUAGCAAUACAAACAAACAUAGUAUAGGAAAAAUUAACAACACACCAAACAUAAGCACAAACUACAUAAUAAUGUUCUACGCAUCGUAACAAGAUCGUAGGUUCGAGAACCACUAAAUUCGGAGUUACAGUUACAGAGUUAUGAUUUUCUGAAGGUUUAAGUGUUGGAUAUAAGAGAAACUAAGUGCAUAAUUUUAACCUAGGUUUCCUAACAAACUAAGGUUACCAGAUGAUAAACAAUAUUAAUGUGAACCUAAUGCAACUGGAAUAGAUCAAAAAGGAGUUAAAAUGAAUUAAAUAUAAAUUAAAUAAGUUUCUAGAAUUAUUUUUAUACUAGAAAUCAUUAUCUCUGAUUUAUUUUACUUAAUUUAAAUAGUCUCGGACUGUGGCCACUAUUUCCUAAAAUUACAGGGAUUACUUUGUAAAUUUCACGACCUAAGCGCAUUGAUCUUUCAAUACGAGGACGGCAGGUUUAUUUAUCAAAAACUCGAAGACUCUUUUGAAGUUUUACCACGCCGAAGGGGUAUCCACACGCAUUAGCCGUUGGAUCCGUAUCUGAUAGCUGUGAUUAAAUCGGUCCACAUAACGAACCGGUACGUGAUUCUAGCCCACGGAUAAAAAAUCUGCGACCCAGAUCCUAUUUAAGCGAAGGGGCAUCACCUUCAAAUCUAAGCCAUGCAUCACCCAUCAAACGGACUAGACCUGAACAUCGAAAGGGUAACUCAGAGAUCAAAACUUGGCCCUUAAUCAAACAAUGAACGGCCUAGGCAUGACUUCCCCCCUCGGUGCCAAGCAGAGGUGGCGCUGAGCUCCCCAUGGCGGAGAGCUCGCCGGCGUGGGGUACUCCGAUCCUCCGGAGCUCCAAAAUCGAAUCUAACAGGUUCUACACGGAGGUGGGAUCCCAACAAAUGAUCUAGGGUUUACAUACCGAUUGUGAAGAUGAUGAUGUUCUCCGGCCACGGCGCGGGAGGUCCGACGACGGCGGAUGAACUCCGAUGCAAAUUUCAUUGCUACCCCACCCCUUGUACCGCACGGAGAGGACACAGACACCAUCCUUGUGCAACCGCGAAUGUCCCAGGCCGAACAUCGCGGGCUCGUCCACGUUGUACCCAUGAUUUUACCACGGCGGCAGCCAAAUCCCUCUCCUUGUAGCUCGUUGGUGGUUACAAUCUCGGCCAGAGAUUGCUUCCAAGGCCAAGACACGGCUAGAGGGGUAGCGUUGGCUAGUAUAUAAGGCCCUGGGGCGCCCAGGAGCCAACGAUCCAAG